rnacentral:sRNA from 1 species
GUAUCACCUGUUGUCGCCGUCCCAGCGAA